rnacentral:rRNA from 1 species
CGAACGCUGGCGGCGUGCUUAACACAUGCAAGUCGCACGGAAAGGCCCUGCUUUUGUGGGGUGCUCGAGUGGCGAACGGGUGAGUAACACGUGAGUAACCUGCCCUUGACUUUGGGAUAACUUCAGGAAACUGGGGCUAAUACCGGAUAGGAGCUCCUGCUGCAUGGUGGGGGUUGGAAAGUUUCGGCGGUUGGGGAUGGACUCGCGGCUUAUCAGCUUGUUGGUGGGGUAGUGGCUUACCAAGGCUUUGACGGGUAGCCGGCCUGAGAGGGUGACCGGCCACAUUGGGACUGAGAUGCGGCCCAGACUCCUACGGGAGGCAGCAGUGGGGAAUAUUGCACAAUGGGCGGAAGCCUGAUGCAGCAACGCCGCGUGCGGGAUGACGGCCUUCGGGUUGUAAACCGCUUUCGCCUGUGACGAAGCGUGAGUGACGGUAAUGGGUAAAGAAGCACCGGCUAACUACGUG